rnacentral:rRNA from 1 species
CUCAGGAUGAACGCUGGCGGCGUGCCUAACACAUGCAAGUCGAACGAAGGCAUUAGGAAACUCUUCGGAGCGGAAAGAUGCCUUAGUGGCGGACGGGUGAGUAACGCGUGGAUAACCUGCCUCAUACAGGGGGAUAACAGUUAGAAAUGACUGCUAAAACCGCAUAAGCGCACACUACCGCAUGGUAGAGUGUGAAAAAACUCCGGUGGUAUGAGAUGGAUCCGCGUCUGAUUAGUUAGUUGGCGGGGUAACGGCCCACCAAGACGACGAUCAGUAGCCGACCUGAGAGGGUGACCGGCCACAUUGGGACUGAGACACGGCCCAAACUCCUACGGGAGGCAGCAGUGGGGGAUAUUGCACAAUGGGGGAAACCCUGAUGCAGCGACGCCGCGUGAGUGAAGAAGUAUUUCGGUAUGUAAAGCUCUAUCAGCAGGGAAGAAGAUGACGGUACCUGCAGAAGAAGCCCCGGCUAACUACGUGCCAGCCGCAGC